UAGCGGAGGGGCUAGCGUUGUUCGGAAUUACUGGGCGUAAAGCGCGCGUAGGCGGACCUGCAAGUCGGGGGUGAAAGCCCGAGGCUCAACCUCGGAACUGCCUUCGAUACUGCGGGUCUCGAGUCCGGGAGAGGUGAGUGGAAUUCCUAGUGUAGAGAUGAAAUUCGUAGAUAUUAGGAAGAACACCAGUGGCGAAGGCGGCUCACUGGCCCGGUACUGACGCUGAGGCGCGAAAGGCGUGGGGAGCAAACGG
rnacentral:rRNA from 1 species